ensembl:rRNA 5S_rRNA 5S ribosomal RNA
GUCUAUGGUCAUACCACUCUGACCAGGCCUGAUCUUCUCUGAUCUCGGAAGCUAAGCAGGGUUGGGGCUGGCUAGAACUUGGAUGGGAGACUGCCUGGGAAUACCAGGUGCCGUAGGCU